rnacentral:rRNA from 1 species
GACGAACCGAGCGAACGUUGUUCGGAAUCACUGGGCUUAAAGGGCGCGUAGGCGGGCUGCCGCGUCCGGGGUGAAAUCCACCGGCUCAACCGGGGGACGGCCUCGGAUACGGGCGGCCUCGAGGGGGGUAGGGGCAUCUGGAACUGUGGGUGGAGCGGUGAAAUGCGUUGAGAUCCACAGGAACUCCGGUGGCGAAGGCGAGGUGCUGGACCCCAUCUGACGCUGAGGCGCGAAAGCCAGGGGAGCGAACGGG